rnacentral:rRNA from 1 species
UACGAAGGGGGGCUAGCGUUGUUCGGAAUCACUGGGCGUAAAGGGCGCGUAGGCGGCUUUAUAAGUCGGGGGUGAAAGCCUGUGGCUCAACCACAGAAUUGCCUUCGAUACUGUAGAGCUUGAGACCGGAAGAGGUAAGUGGAACUGCGAGUGUAGAGGUGAAAUUCGUAGAUAUUCGCAAGAACACCAGUGGCGAAGGCGGCUUACUGGUCCGGUUCUGACGCUGAGGCGCGAAAGCGUGGGGAGCAAACGGGG